GCCUUCGUGGUGUAACGGUAGCACACUCGGCCCGUAUUCGAGAGAUCCAGGUUCGAGUCCCGGCGAGGGUA
rnacentral:tRNA from 1 species